GGCCACAGGGUCCUCCCGGGUAUGCUGGUAGACCAGGUGUGACAAGACCUGGUCUGAGAGGUCCCCCAGGAUUUCCUGGGCCAAAAGGAGCAAAAGGAGAAAAAGGACAAGCUGGCUUGUGUAUUGUAGGCCCUCCAGGACUACCUGGUAUUACUGGCAGACCUGGUCCUGUUGGAUUACCAGGUCCUCCAGGAGAACCAGGUAGAGUAACAUUUAGAACAGGCCUACCAGGACCACCUGGAGAGCCAGGGUGUACAGGACCUCCGGGACCUCCAGGAGAUACUGGCAUGAAAGGUCAGUUUCAGAAAACUAUCACUCAGAAGUUGAUGGUGCAGUCCAGUAAUCUUCAUGGAUCCUCAUGAGAUUUUGAAUGAAAUUUACCUCUUAAG
rnacentral:lncRNA from 1 species